UGGCGAACAUGGCGAGUGGAGCCAGCAGCCCAUCUCCACGCCAGAUAACCAGACAUCGUUCGUGGUGGCCGACCUGCAGCCGUUCACCGCCUACAGCUUCAGGGUGACGGCCGUCAACGGCAUCGGCGCCUCGCCAGACGGCAUCGCCUCCUACCCCAUCAUCACGCUGAGAGAAGCCCCAGCCGGGAAGCCGGCGAUCCUGGCGGCGCAUAAUACAAGCUCCACUUCGGUCCGGGUCCGCUGGAGGCCGCUGUCCAAGGAGGAGCUGCGUGGAGAGUUUCAGUUCUACAGGAUCACUUACCGGGAGCGGAGCAACGUCAGCAGCCGGAUUCGAGAGCUUCGGAUCAAGGAUGAACGUGUUCAGAGCCACACCAUCUCCGGGCUCCGUCCGUACACGCAGUACAUCAUCUCGAUACAAGUGGAGAACCCGGCUGGCCUGGGUCCCAGCUCCACGGUCGUGGUCACCACGGACG
rnacentral:lncRNA from 1 species